rnacentral:rRNA from 1 species
UGGGGAAUAUUGGACAAUGGGGGAAACCCUGAUCCAGCGACGCCGCGUGUGUGAAGAAGGCCUGCGGGUUGUAAAGCACUUUUAGUGGGGAUGAAAUGUGCAGGGUUAACACCUCUGCAUUUUGACCUAACCCACAGAAAAAGCACCGGCUAACUCUGUGCCAGCAGCCGCGGUAAUACAGAGGGUGCAAGCGUUAAUCGGAAUUACUGGGCGUAAAGCGUGCGUAGACGGUUACAUAAGUCGGGUGUGAAAGCCCCGGGCUCAACCUGGGAAUUGCAUUCGAGACUGCGUAGCUAGGGUGCGGAAGAGGGAAGCGGAAUUUCCGGUGUAGCGGUGAAAUGCGUAGAUAUCGGAAGGAACACCAGUGGCGAAAGCGGCUUCCUGGUCCAGCACCGACGUUCAGGCACGAAAGCGUGGGGAGCAAACA